rnacentral:rRNA from 1 species
AACGAACGCUGGCGGCAUGCCUAACACAUGCAAGUCGAACGAAACCUUCGGGUCUAGUUGCGCACGUGUGCGUAACGCGUGGGAACCUGCCCUUAGGUUCGGAAUACCUCCCCGAAAGGGGUGCUAAUACCGGAUAAUGUCUUCCGACCAAAGAUUUAUCGCCUUUGGAUGGGCCCGCGUUGGAUUCGCUGGUUGGUAGGGUAAAAGCCUACCAAGGCGACGAUCCAUAGCUGGUCGGAGAGGAUGAUCAGCCACACUGGGACUGAGACACGGCCCAGACUCCUACGGGAGGCAGCAGUGGGGAAUAUUGGACAAUGGGCGAAAGCCUGAUCCAGCAAUGCCGCGUGAGUGAUGAAGGCCUUAGGGUUGUAAAGCUCUUUUACCCGGGAUGAUAAUGACAGUACCGGGAGAAUAAGCUCCGGCUAACUCCGUG